rnacentral:lncRNA from 1 species
UAUUCAUAGAUUCCAGACAUUGUAUAGAAGAACAUUGUGAAACUCCCUGUCCUGUUCUGUUUCUCUCUGACCACCGGUACAUGCAGCCCCUGUCAUGUACCGCCUGCUUGCUCAAAUCAAUCACGACCCUUUCAUGUGAAAUCUUUAGUGUUAUGAGCCCUUAAAAGGGACAGAAAUUGUGCAUUCGGGGAGCUUGGAUUUUAAGGCAGUACCUUGCCAAUGCUCCCAGCUGAAUAAAGCCCUUCCUUCUACAACUAGGUGUCUGAGAGGUUUUGUCUGCGACUCGUCCUGCUACAUUUCUUGGUUCCCUGACCAGGAAGCGAGGUGACUGACGGACGGCCGAGGCAGCCCCUUAGGUGGCUUAAGCCUGCCCUGUGGAGCAUCCCUGAGGGGGACUCUGGCCAGCCUGAGUGAUGUGGUCCGAAGAGCGCUUGGGUAGGAAAUUGCCCCUGUGGAAUGCCUCGUCAGAGCAGCGCAUAGCAGGCCCCCACGGAGGAUUAACACAGUGGCUGAACACUGGGAAGGAACUGGCCCUUGGAGUCCAGACAUCUGAAACUUGAUGCAGAAAGCAAUAUUUAACUGAUCAGCUGCCACUCACAUCAUGAAUCAGAAGCAGCCUUAAAAGAAAGGAUCCCUUCUUGCUAUUUUGAAGGGAAAUAACUGAGUCCUUUGGAGCUGAAAAUGAAAAACUGAGUAGCUGGUGGAAGAAGCGAGAUGGGUUUGGAACUCACAGGCUAUGUUUCUGGAUGCAUCACAUUUGCAAGAGGGAAGUUUUGGUGUCCCUGUGGGUAUAUUAGCACUCCUUUACUCCAUUUCUCUGUAGCUACUCAAGCAAGUGACAAGUAAGUAUGUUGAGACCACAUGUGACAUAUAAAUUACAAGUUCUCCUGCCCCUCUAAAAGUUUAUUCAGCAUCAACCUUUGCACCAACACACUAAGGCAUAAUAGCUGAUAAUUUAUGAGUGUAAUUUGAAGGAAGCAAUUCUGUUUUGUGAUUAUGGUAGUAAAUAAAAGAUUCAAAUCCUCAUUGACACACCAUGAAAUUCAGCUUUACUUUUUUUUUUUUAACCUUGAUAUUGUUUAUGGAAAGAAGGCUGCAGAGUCCAAGAAAGGUGACAGAUAUGAAGAAAUGCAGUGGUUGCAAAGGACAAAGACAAUGGCAACACAAAUAAAAGAAAUUAUGAGAAGGAAAUAAAUAUUAAAAAAAAAACCCAAACGUUUGUUGAUGUAAACUGAAAAUAAAUUUGGAAUGAGCUGUGUGCACUUGGAAAUGAGAAGCUCUGUCCUGCACCAUGAAGGGCUUUGUGUGCAUCCAUGGGUUGCUUCUGCAUGCAGAAUGAGACUGGAACAAAAAAGAACCAUUUAAAACACAGGAUCCAGGUGAUUCAGGAUUUUAAAUUGAAGAUUGAUCAUACAAGCUGGAAGACGUCCCAUGACACUUUAUUUGAAAUUGGAACAUCAGAAUUUGGUUGGGUCUAUCUUUUACUAACUCUGUACCAUGAAAAAAUUAUUUAAUAUUUCUGAACUGUGUAAAGAAUAAAAUUAGAUUAUGAAUUCAA